AUGGGAUGGGACUCCUCUGAGGUCUUAGCUCAAUCCUCCAACUCAACAUCUGCCAAGGGUGAGAAGUCCUCCUGCACUUCCCUUUCCUUUAAACCUGGCUCCUGCUAUCUUGCCCAGCUCCAGCCCCACUCUCCAGAUGUGGCUCACUCAACUUUGGACUCCAACUUGGGAUCUUGCGCCUGCUUCCAGCACCCUCAGGCUGCUCUGCCAUCAGGGUCUCUAGGAUGCCCACUAUGGUGUAGGCCUGAGGCAUAUGGCCUGCCAGGGCCAGCCAGAGUGCAAGCACCAAAAGAAUUCUGAUGUGCAUUUUUUUAAAGCUCCUCUCCUUGUCUUCAGUAACAAAUAUGAAAUCUAAAUUGUUACAUUUGCUACUGAUUCCUUGUAUACCUUUCACAGCCAGGUGGACAAACUCUGGCUCUUCUGAGUAUGUUGAGGUACAAGUCCGCACACACCCCUUGUCUCUUCCCAUUGGCCAUGCUGGAGUCUAUAACAUACCUGCAUAAGGGGGCAUCGUUUCCCCAUUUCUGCUUUACAUGAACGUUUUCCCCUGGAAAGUCACAUAUGUAUCACAGGAAGGAUCUAGUUAUCUUGGACACCAGAAUGCAACAAUUAGUAAAGAAGUGCACUACCAUAGCACUGAGUAUUUUUUUAUGUCUGAAAUGCUCAAACAUUGUAACAUAACUUUUAUUUGUGUGUCUUUAUAACAAUAUAAAGAGCUCCACAGGUCUCAAAAGCACAAGGGUUUCUUUUUAACAGUAUCUUGGUUUACAAUUUUCAUACAUAAAAGAUACAAAUUUACCCACUUUAUGUGAUUGCUUAGCUACAGAUUGUGUACCAUUACCUGUUAGCUAUUAAACUGAGACUGUGAUCAGAGAGCACUAAAGCUUUUAUUUUUGUAAAGCUUGUGACAUGGUCCUGUUCACCCUAUUUUCUGGUGAAUACAUGACAUGCAGAAGAUACUAAGCCCAACCUUGCUCCAUGCCUAGUCCAUUUUUGAUCAAACAACAGGGCUAUUCUUUUUAAAGAUUUGGGCUGGAGCAAUUGGGACUGAAUCACAUAUGCAUGGAAGGGUCACUUUAACAGAAAUCACACUUAGUGAAGCAACCCUUUCCAGCAUGAUCCAGUAUAAUCCUAUAUUGCUGUCUGAUCACACACUUUCUCAGAUCUGUAAAAGGCCGCUGUGAAAUGACUGAAUCCAAACACUUCUACCUCACAGGGGAAUAUAAAGAAUAAUAUGUUAUAGUAGAAUUCUGUAAAUGCUGUUCACUAUGGUUAAAUAAAUAGAUCAUGUUCCAAACA
rnacentral:lncRNA from 1 species